GACGGACGCUGGCGGCGUGCUUAACACAUGCAAGUCGAGCGGUAAGGCCCUUUCGGGGGUACACGAGCGGCGAACGGGUGAGUAACACGUGGGUGACCUGCCCUCAGCUCUGGGAUAAGCCUGGGAAACCGGGUCUAAUACUGGAUAUGACUCCAUGACGCAUGUUGUGGGGUGGAAAGCCUUGUGCGGCUGAGGAUGGGCCCGCGGCCUAUCAGCUUGUUGGUGGGGGAUGGCCUACCAAGGCGACGACGGGUAGCCGGCCUGAGAGGGCGACCGGCCACACGUGGGACUGAGACACGGCCCAGACUCCUACGGGAGGCAGCAGGUGGGGAAUCUUGCGCAAGUGGGACGAAAGCCUGACGCAGCGACGCCGCGUGA
rnacentral:rRNA from 1 species